CCCAUGCUGCAGAAUGGCAGUUUUCCUAGUUACCUUCAUGUUAAAAUAGACUUCACACUAUCCAGGUGAUGAAAAUAAUCUCCAGGGACUAAGUCAUUCUUUGAAGAUGAACUGAAUCUGUGUACCAUGGAACAUAAAAUUGUGGGGGAAUGUGUAACCUACUGGCCUUAGAUGUGAAACCAUAAAAUUAUGAGCUACUGAAACCAGGAAAACAUACCUAAAAAAAAGAAAGAAAACAUCCUUGGACUUGAAGAAAGAUGUAUAAACACAAAAGGAGAAAUGCGUGGUGACAAGGGCAAUAAUACAAUUUGCAAAACU